rnacentral:rRNA from 1 species
UGCCAGACUCCUACGGGAGGCAGCAGUGGGGAAUAUUGGACAAUGGGGGGAACCCUGAUCCAGCGACGCCGCGUGAGUGAAGAAGUAUUUCGGUAUGUAAAGCUCUAUCAGCAGGGAAGAAAGAAAUGACGGUACCUGACUAAGAAGCCCCGGCUAACUACGUGCCAACAGCCGCGGUAAUACGUAGGGGGCGAGCGUUAUCCGGAUUCACUGGGUGUAAAGGGAGCGUAGACGGCCAUGCAAGCCAGGGGUGAAAGCCCGGGGCCCAACCCCGGGACUGCCCUUGGAACUGCAUGGCUGGAGUGCGGGAGGGGCAGGCGGAAUUCCUGGUGUAGCGGUGAAAUGCGUAGAUAUCAGGAGGAACACCGGCGGCGAAGGCGGCCUGCUGGACCGUGACUGACGUUGAGGCUCGUGAGCGUGGGGAGCAAACAGGAUUAGAUACCCUCGUAC